AGUCUUAUAUUCAAUUAUGAUUUUAAAUUGCAAAUUUAAAGGUAAAUUUUAAAUUUUAAGGCUU
rnacentral:tRNA from 1 species